GGUGAAAGAGGAACAGCAACUUUCAGAAGGCAGGAUGGAAAUUACAGCUCACUCAGCCAAGUCUGGCUGGUCUCAAGUUUGGAUCCUCCUACUUAUUCCUUCUGAAUAACCUGGAUUACAGCUUCAUUGGUGAUGAAGGACAUUUCAUCAUAUCGACCUGGCAUGUAUAGAACUAUAAACUUACUUAUGAGCUGUAAAAAAUGAGUGGCGAGCGAGAGCAACCAAUACAAACUCAAAGCUUUAUGGGGGGGGGGGGACAGACCUGCCAGGCUGCUUCAAGCAGGAAUGGAGGCAGCAGCCAUGGACAGGUGUGGAUUUAAACACAAUUUCAGAAGACAGUCCCAUAGGUCACUAGGGCAGUCCCAUGGGUCAUUGUGUAGACUAUGGGAAUUUGGGGGUGGGGUCAGUUACAAGCAGAGGUGUUAUGAAGGUGUUAUGUGGACCACAGGAAUUGGGAGGAGAGUCACAUUCUGAGAAGGAGUCUAGUGAGGCUGUUGUAACUGGGGUGGGAAUUUGUAUGUCACUCCAGGAAAACAAUACAACAUUGGGGAAAUAGAAACUUAACAGAUUUUUGUAAACAGGUAGGGACACAAGUCAGCAAGCUGACUCUAAGACCUUAGAUGAACACCAGUUUAGGCUCUGCAAUUUUUAUUUGUUGUGCUUUCAUGUUCAUACAAUCAAUGAUACUAAUAUAUCAUGGGAUUUAUUACAUAAUUUGUGGGUUAGUAUGCAGAAGAUUGGAUUAGUUUAUAAAAUUGGAACCAUUCCCAGACAGCUUUGGCUAACAGUUUCUAUUUUCAUUCUGUUGUAAUCAGGAAACGUAUUCUGAUUUACUUUAAAAAAAAAAAAGUUUCAUGGUCCCAUUUGUUGAGUGUAGCUGGUUAUAAUGUUUUCACAAAUGUCUUAAAUCAAUUAAAUAUCUGCACAUAUCUGCUGCACCCAUAUUUCUUUCUGUUUACAGGCACUGCUAAUUGUUGCACCUUGUAUUAUGACUUCCAUAUUUUCUCCUGAGUUUUGCCAAAUUAAGAGUGAUAUACUUUGUUGGGGUUUCGUUGUUGUUGUUUCGGUUUGGUUUG